rnacentral:misc_RNA from 1 species
AUGCCUUGCUUACAAAACUUGACCUAACGUAUGACCUAUUAUUUAGUGUCGUGUUUCGUCAUGAAAAUAUUCUGUUCACCAAAUCAUUUGAUGUUGAAGAAUUGAUUUAAUGAAUAUGUUUGUCAUCAACAACUUUUUUGAAUGACGAAAGAAAUCGAAUUCAACAAAAUCUUCAAAAACUGGUAGUAUUCAGCUUCCAGAUUUACAGAAUCAAGAAGCUGUACAGAAAUUUUUCUUUGAACAAGUUCAACUCGGAGAAGAGUUACUGGCAGCAGGUGAUGUGGAGAAUGCUGUAGAACACCUGAGCAAUGCUGUGCCACUGUGUGGACAACCUCAGCAACUCCUGCAGGUGCUUGAACAGACAUUACCUCCUCAAGUUUUCCAGCUUCUAGUUCAGAAACUCCCAGAAGUUAACAAGCGAUAUGCAUCCAUGUUUGCCUCUUCAAUGGCAAUGCCAUCAGCUGCAUCAGCUGCACCAGGUGCCUCAAAAGGGCCAACCCUCACUUUAACUGAAGAUGAUGUUGAAUGAAAUCAUAGGAGAAAAACUUGCCACCUGUUCUUAUGUAAUAAAGACAAAAUACAUUUACAUGUGCUACCAUGGACCAAUUCUUUGUUUGUACAUUUGUAAUGUAUAAGUUUCUUCAAAAUAAUUGAAAAGACAGUACUACAGUGUACUGGUAUUAUGUGUGAUACAUAUAUUCAUUUUUGUUAAAUACAUGUAUAUGAUGUGUCAAUUCUGUUUUUUUUUAAAUGCCUGGACUGAAUAAAGUUAAAAUUAU